UACGUAGGGGGCAAGCGUUGUCCGGAUUUAUUGGGCGUAAAGAGCUCGUAGGUGGUUCGGUAAGUCGGAUGUGAAAUCUCCAGGCUCAACCUGGAGGGGUCAUUCGAUACUGCCGUGACUAGAGGUCGGUAGGGGAGUGUGGAAUUCCUGGUGGAGCGGUGAAAUGCGCAGAUAUCAGGAGGAACACCCGUAGCGAAGGCGGCACUCUGGGACGGUACUGACGCUGAGACGCGAAAGCGUGGGGAGCGAACAGG
rnacentral:rRNA from 1 species